rnacentral:rRNA from 1 species
AGUGAACGCUGGCGGUAGGCCUAACACAUGCAAGUCGAACGGCAGCACAGUAAGAGCUUGCUCUUACGGGUGGCGAGUGGCGGACGGGUGAGGAAUACAUCGGAAUCUACUUUUUCGUGGGGGAUAACGUAGGGAAACUUACGCUAAUACCGCAUACGACCUACGGGUGAAAGCAGGGGAUCUUCGUACCUUGCGCGUUUUAAUGAGCCGAUGUCGGAUUAGCUAGUUGGCGGGGUAAAGGCCCACCAAGGCGACGAUCCGUAGCUGGUCUGAGAGGAUGAUCAGCCACACUGGAACUGAGACACGGACCAGACGCCUACGGGAGGCAGCAGUGGGGAAUAUUGGACAAUGGGCGCAAGCAUGAUCCAGCAAUACCGCGUGGGUGAAGAAGGCCUUCGGGUUGUAAAGCCCUUUUGUUGGGAAAGAAAAGCAGCAGGUUAAUACCCCGCUGUUCUGACGGUACCCAAAGAAUAAGCACCGGCUAACUUCGUG